rnacentral:sRNA from 1 species
AGGCUAAGGCACGAUAAUUGCUUGAACCUGGGAAGCUGAGGCUGCAGUGAGCUGAGAUAGCGUCACUGCACUCCAGCCAGGACGACAGAGUGAGACUCUGUCACAAAAACAAAAAAGAACCCCCCAAAAAACAGCUCACACCAAAAAAGUUGAAAGGGCAUGAGCUAUAAAGGAAAGCCCUUCCCAAGAGCAGUUAGUCACUUGCCACCCUAAUGUCAGACUCUCAGACUCUAAACACCUGCCCCAGAGAGUUCUCACACAAGCAUAUGGCAAUAGCUGCUGAGCAGCUUUGAAUCUUUCAGUGUUGUGAGGUGCGAAAGGCUGUGCCUGUCAAUUUUUGCAGUACUUAGAGCCUUAAGCACUGUUUUCCUCCAUUCCCAUCCCUACCAUAAUACUGACUGAAGCUUGUUACCUUCCUCCAGGUCAUCCUGGCCCGGCAGUAUGGCUCCGAGGGCAGGUUCACUUUCACUUCCCAUACCCCUGGCGAGCACCAGAUCUGUCUUCACUCCAAUUCCACCAAGUUCUCCCUCUUUGCUGGAGGCAUGCUGAGAGUUCACCUGGACAUCCAGGUAGGUGAACAUGCCAACGACUAUGCAGAAAUUGCUGCUAAAGACAAGUUGAGUGAGUUGCAGCUACGAGUGCGACAGCUGGUGGAACAAGUGGAGCAGAUCCAGAAAGAGCAGAACUACCAGCGGUGGCGAGAGGAGCGCUUCCGGCAGACCAGUGAGAGCACCAACCAGCGGGUGCUGUGGUGGUCCAUUCUGCAGACCCUCAUCCUCGUGGCCAUCGGUGUCUGGCAGAUGCGGCACCUCAAG